CUCCCGUAACGAGUCUGGGCCGUGUCUCAGUCCCAGUGUGGCCGAUCACCCUCUCAGGUCGGCUAUGUAUCGUUGCCUUGGUGAGCCGUUACCUCACCAACUAGCUAAUACAACGCAGGUCCAUCUGGUAGUGGUGCAAUUGCACCUUUCAAGCAGCUAUCAUGCGAUAUCUACUCUUAUGCGGUAUUAGCUAUCGUUUCCAAUAGUUAUCCCCCGCUACCAGGCAGGUUACCUACGCGUUACUCACCCGUUCGCAACUCAUCCGGAAAGAGCAAGCUCCUCCUUCAGCGUUCUACUUGCAUGUAUUAGGCACGCCGCCAGCGUUCGUCCUGAGCCAGGAUCAAACUCUAAUCGAAUUCCCGCUGCCACA
rnacentral:rRNA from 1 species